AGUGAACGCUGGCGGUAGGCCUAACACAUGCAAGUCGAACGGCAGCACAGUAAGAGCUUGCUCUUACGGGUGGCGAGUGGCGGACGGGUGAGGAAUACAUCGGAAUCUACUUUUUCGUGGGGGAUAACGUAGGGAAACUUACGCUAAUACCGCAUACGACCUACGGGUGAAAGCAGGGGAUCUUCGGACCUUGCGCGAUUGAAUGAGCCGAUGUCGGAUUAGCUAGUUGGCGGGUUAAAGGCCCACCAAGGCGACGAUCCGUAGCUGGUCUGAGAGGAUGAUCAGCCACACUGGAACUGAGACACGGUCAAGACUCCUACGGGAGGCAGCAGUGGGGAAUAUUGGACAAAGGGCGCAAGCAUGAUCCAGCCAUACCGCGUGGGUGAAGAAGGCCUUCGGGUUGUAAAGCCCUUUUGUUGGGAAAGAAAAGCAGCAGGUUAAUACCCCGCUGUUCUGACGGUACCCAAAGAAUAAGCACCGGCUAACUUCGUG
rnacentral:rRNA from 1 species